rnacentral:rRNA from 1 species
CCUACGGGAGUCAGCAGUGAGGACUAUUUGUCAAUGGACGAGAGUCUGAACCAGCCAAGUAGCGUGAAGGAUGACUGCCCUAUGGGUUGUAAACUUCUUUUAUAAAUGAAUAAAACGAGGCACGUGUGCCUUUUUGCAUGUACUUUAUGAAUAAGGAUCGGCUAACUACGUGCCAGCAGCCGCGGGAAUACGGAGGAUCCUAUCGUUAUCCGGAUUUAUUGGGUUUAACGGGAGCGUAGAUGGGUUGUUAAGUCAGUUGUGAAAGUUUGCGGCUCAAACGUAAAAUUGCAAUUGAGACUGGCAGUCUUGAGUACAGUUGAGGUAAGCGGAAUUCGUGGUGUAGCGGUGAAAUGCUUAGAUAUCACGAAGAACCCCGAUUGCGAAGGCAGCUUACUAAACUGUGACUGACAUUGAUGCUCGAAAGUGUGGGUAUCAAACAGGAUUAGAGACCCGUGUAGUC